GGCUACAUUGUUAAAGCUGGGUGACUGUACAAGACUCUUUUUUUCUAAUGGACCAAUAGAAGGUAGCGCAUAUUUGUAAAGUGGAAGGAAACAAUCAUUUUAAUGUUUUGUCUUUGCAAGUAAAAACCAAAAAAAAAAAAACCAUUCCAUUGUAGCUCUGCCUAAAAAAAAACCAGGUAGGGUUAUCCUGCUGUAAGAUGGCCCAUCUGGCCCAGUUUAUUUUUUGCAGUCUGUAAAAGUCUUUCUUGCAGAACUUGCAUGUAUACAACUCCACCUAUCCCUAGUCCCUGCAGGUGAAGAGUAUUACUACAGCAUGAUGCUGCCACCACCACUACUAUGUUUCAGUAUGAGGGUGAUGUUUUUUUUAUUUGACGAAGGUUUGAUUUUGCUUGCAUUUCACUGAUGCACUUUUUCCACAAGUUUGCCAUGUCCCCAUAGCUUACGGUAAACUGUGAACAGGACUUCUCAACAAUGGCUGGACUAAACAAUUGUAUUUAAUCAGGUUUAAAUAUAUUCAGGUGUAAUGUUUACUUAUUAAGUGACUGACAUUGAUGUAGGAAUAUGCAAGUAAACAUAAAUCCACUACACUCCUCUGUUUGUAAGUAGGAAAAAAAUAAUUCUUUCUCCUCCUCCCCAUCUUCUUUACCAGCUACUUAGGUCUAAAUUUCACAUAUUAUCCCAAUAAAACUCAUGUAAGUUAUGGAAGAUAUUUUUCCCAUCAUAUUUACAUUUUCAGACUGUUCAUUUCGGCUCGAUUAUUCCCUCCAUUUUCUUUCAAAAACGAAAACGUGCAUUUUCCUGCCUGUCUAGAACCUUCCGCUCGCGACACAAGGCGAGCGUCUACUCUUUUAUAUCUAUGGUGGCGAGAACGUAAAAAUGACGAACGCAACUACGUUCAAUUUUAAGGACAACAGGAGUAUGGAAAAAACUCAACGAACUCUGGGUCAGCCCUGAGCUCUUCGGUAUCAGAACCGCUGAUUUCCAUGAGUUCAGUGGACUCGGAGUUGGUUCACCUAGAAGCAAGCGCAUGCGCCAGCGCCAUUCAAAGCCUUCAUGCGGAUGCCGCUAGAGCAGAGGGUCCUCCUUCAGGCUUAUGAAGAGCAUGCUCACAUAUUUAGUAAAAAGAGCAACAAGGCGGCAGCAGCUAAAGCGAGACAGGCUGCAUGGAAGAGCAUUGCUGCCCGAGUCAAUGCGUGUAACUCAGGGGAAAGGCGGACUUGGAUGCAACUGAAAAUGAAGUAUAAAAAUAUGAUUCAGAAAGAUACCCGUAUAAUGUUUUAAAACGAUUCACUCUGAGCUGCAUUCAGCUAACAGAAAACGGGCUGCGGCCCGAAAAAUCGACAGUGAGCUACUAAUCCCGCCCCUGACGGAGACGGAGGGGCUGGCCACCACCCAAAGCUCCCCCAGACCUGUUUCCGAAGGCAUCUCUGCAGACAGCUCACCUGAACCGGGGGCCAACCAAGACACAGUUACAGAUGGUGUUUAUGUUGCUGAGCCUUCAUCCACUGCAACAGGGGAAGAGCCUGCAGUCGAGGAUGGUGUUCUGUCUGCUGCCACCAAGAAGGAAGCUGAGAUUCAUACUGAAAGAAAAGCUGGCCACUACCAGGACGGGGUUCCUCCCACCUCCACAGCACGGCUCGACUCAUUACCAGUAGCAGAGUUAUACAGGCAUCAUCUCCUUAAGACUAUUGAGAAAACGGAUAAAGAAAUCACGUAUUUGGACCGCCAAAUCAAGAAAACGGACCUAGAAAUUCUUAUACUGGAGCGCCAGUUGAGGGAACAAAGAAGACUGAAUGACUGAAUUAUUUAUUUUUUGGUGGAGAGACUUGUUAGGAGACUAUCCUUACAUCUGGGAUGUCUGCAAGGAGUUGCAAAGAACUCAUUGAAUACAUUUGAGCAUAGAGCGGUGGGAAUAACAUGCAGAGCUUUAGGUUUAAUAGUACAUCCAAAUAUGGAGCUCACACUAUCCAUGCGAGUUGUUUAGUGUGAUUUGUACUAUUAGUUAAAACCUUAUUACAUACUCAACAGUAACAUUAUUAGACACUAUAAUGCCUAAGAGUCGUUCUGGUGCCUUAGAACAACUCUGUUGCUCUAAGAGUUGUUACUUAACGCAAGUCAUGGCAGCAAAAUAACGCACUUAAGUCAUCUAGACAUGGUGAAGACGACUUGCUGAAGUUAAAACCAACCAUCAAAAUGGAGACUUUGAACAUGUUGUGUUAUGGUAUUUCAGAAACUUUUGCUGCUCCAUCGGGCCUUUGUUCUCUAAGGUUUACAGAGAACAGCACAAAACAGAGGAAACAUCAAGUGAGCAACAGUCGUGUGCAUAAAAAUGCCUUUUUGAGUUUAGAGGUUAAAGGCGAAUGGGCAAACUAGUUAGAGGUGAUAGAAAGGCAACAGAAGCUCAAAUAAAACUUUGUCACUACCAAGCGGACAGAGCUUUUCUUUUCUGUUUCUCUAAAAGUCUGGAGCUCCCUUCCUCUUGACUCACAUCAGUUCUCUGUGACUUCCUUUUGAAGGCCAGCUAAACACAUUUUUUUAAAUCCGAUUUUGUUUUGCUUUGUGUAUUUUAUUUUGUUAUUCUGUUUGUUGAAGCACUUUGUGAUUUUCAUCUUGAAAGGUACUGUACAAAUAAAAUUUUACUUACAAAGUUAUGCAGAAUACCAUCUGUAAUCCCUAAAGCAGAUGGGCUGCAGCAACAGACGAUGGCACCAGGGCGGCUGCUCUUGUGAGCUGAGAACAGGAAACUGAGGCAAUACAAUAUCACUGUUUGGACAAUUUAACUAGAGCAAAGCAGAAAACAAGAGGGCUUUUUAUACAAGGGCUUUUAUUGGUCAAUUUAGCCAAGUUGUUGAGGUGAAAUUUG